UACGGGGGAUGCAAGCGUUAUCCGGAAUUAUUGGGCGUAAAGGGUCCGCAGGGGGUGAAUCAAGUCUGUUGUCAAAGCGUGGAUCUUAACUCCAUAAGGGCAAUGGAAACUGAUUGACUAGAGUACAGUAGGGGUUGCGGGAAUUCCCAGUGUAGCGGUGAAAUGCGUAGAUAUUGGGAAGAACACCAGCGGCGAAGGCGCGCGACUGGACUGAGACUGACACUGAGGGACGAAAGCUAGGGGAGCGAAAGGG
rnacentral:rRNA from 1 species